GGGCCCGCCUACCAACAGGAGGGCCGGCCGGUAGUCCUCGCGUCGCUCAGCGGCUUUCCACCAAUAGAACGCGGCUCUGAGGAGACGGCGGCCCGCCCUCGCCUCCUAUUGGACCUAGGCGGGGGGACGGCGGGCGCCGAUAGGCGGCGCGAGCUGUCCGUCAGCUGCAAUCAGAGCCCUGCGCUCUGGCGGGGGCGGGGGGCGGUGCGGACGUGAGGAGCCGCACAGCAGCGGGGGGGGGGGGGCGCGCUGCGGCCGCCCUGCGCCAAUGGGGCGGGGCGGGGCCGGCCCCCCCCGCCCCCCCGCCUCGGGGGCUGUGGUGAUCCGUGGCGGCGGCGCACCGGGGGACGGAGCCGCCUCAGACGCCACCGGGUUCAGCCCCUGGGGGGUUAUACAGGGGUCCAGGGGCGCUGCCACCCCUCAUACUGCACCCUAGGGUGCUGCUGAGGAACCCUGGAAGGGGAGCAGCGCAGAGGGGGUGAAGGUGGCAGUUAAAGAUGGAACACGCUGGGGUUUAAGAAGCACACGGCCAGGAGUGCUGGCAAACAGGGGGGGCUGGGCGAGCAAAGCUGGGUGCAGCCCCAGCCCUGUUCCCCCCACACCCACGCUGAGGGGCAGGGGGCACCCAGGGGCCCGGCCGGACCCAGCACCUGGGCAACACCAUGGACUUACAGCUCCUUCUCUGCAGGCCACGGGCUUUACCUACGCUUCAUUCCCAUCCCGCUGUACCAGGGCCAUGCUUGAUGCAGUCCCGCUACAGCCAGAAUCCUGCCACGUCCCUGACUCGGAGGUAGAGUUCUGCCCAGCUCUUGCAGAGAUGCUACGGGUUGUGGCAAGUACCUGAGCCUACAGGGGGAGUACGCUGCAGCUCCUGGUAUCUCCGUCUCCAGCAGUCACCAUCACCACAGGACACAGGCACUUUUUCAAAGCGGCUGCAAAGACCACGGAAGCCUGCCAGGAUAAAGUAUCAAGGGUAUUUUUUAAUUUAUGGUCCGCACAAGUUUAAUUGAGCACAGAUUCUGUAUACUUGCUGGGAAGAGAGAUGGGAAUUCCUAAACUAGAAGGAAGAUCCCUCCAUUUUUUCAACACUGGUUUUCUUGCUUCCUGAUUUUAUCCAUUAAAUACUUAUUUUACCACAUCA